rnacentral:rRNA from 1 species
AUUGAACGCUGGCGGCAGGCCUAACACAUGCAAGUCGAGCGAGCGGCGGACGGGUGAGUAAUGUAUGGGGACUGCCCGAUAGAGGGGGAUAACUACUGGAAACGGUGGCUAAUACCGCAUACUCUCGGAUAACCCAUAUGGGAUUAGCUAGUAGGUGGGGUAAAGGCUCACCUAGGCGACGAUCUCUAGCUGGUCUGAGAGGAUGAUGAGCCACAAUGGGACUGAGACACGGCCCAGACUCCAACGGAGGAAGAAGUGGGGAAAAUUUCACAAAUGGGGCAAUCCCGAUGUAGACAUGCGGCGGGUAUGAAGAAGGGCUUAGGGUUGUAAAGUACUUUCCGCGGGGAAGAGUUACCCGCAGAAGAAGCACCGGCUAACUCCGUGCCAGCAGCCGCGGUAAUUC